AAGCAUAUCAAUAGCCCGGGAAGGAAAAA
rnacentral:rRNA from 1 species